rnacentral:rRNA from 1 species
UACGUAGGGGGCAAGCGUUGUCCGGAAUCAUUGGGCGUAAAGCGCGUGUCGGCGGCUCGAUAAGUCUGCUGUGAAAGUCCGGGGCUCAACCCUGGAAAGCCGGUGGAAACUGUCGGGCUAGAGUCCGGAAGAGGCGAGUGGAAUUCCUGGUGUAGCGGUGAAAUGCGCAGAUAUCAGGAGGAACACCAAUGGCGAAGGCAGCUCGCUGGGACGGUACUGACGCUGAGACGCGAAAGCGUGGGGAGCAAAUAGG